UGAAGCUAGAGUGCUCAAGGAGCCUAGCCUGAGAAGCCAGCCAUGUCCCUUUGCCAGCCUGUGGAACAUCAGCCAAAGGGCAGGAGCUGGGAGCAGGGAACAGGCUGGCCUAGGUUCAGAGCCCAUCUUUUUUGCUAGACUUCCUACAGCAGGGCCUUGAUGGAGUGAUACAGUGAUGGUGAGAGGUAUCUGGCUACAUGACUAGACCUGCCUAUGUUGGACAUUUUUAUGAAUCG